UACGUAGGGGGCUAGCGUUGCUCGGAAUUACUGGGCGUAAAGGGCGCGUAGGCGGAUCGUUAAGUCAGAGGUGAAAUCCCAGGGCUCAACCCUGGAACUGCCUUUGAUACUGGCGAUCUUGAGUAUGAGAGAGGUAUGUGGAACUCCGAGUGUAGAGGUGAAAUUCGUAGAUAUUCGGAAGAACACCAGUGGCGAAGGCGACAUACUGGCUCAUUACUGACGCUGAGGCGCGAAAGCGUGGGGAGCAAACAGG
rnacentral:rRNA from 1 species